rnacentral:rRNA from 1 species
UGGCGGUGCGCCUUAUGCAUGCAAGUCGAGCGAAGCUUUUCAGUAGUUUACUACAGAAAAUGACUGAGCGGCGAACGGGUGAGUAACGCGUGAGCAACCUACCUUAGUUACUGGGAUAGCCCGAGGAAACUCGGAUUAAUACCGGAUAUUCUUAUUUAAUCACAUGAUUUUUUAAGGAAAGGUCAGCCGAACUAAGAUGGGCUCGCGUUCUAUCAGCUAGUUGGUAGGGUAAUGGCCUACCAAGGCUACGACGGAUAGCUGGUCUGAGAGGACGAUCAGCCACACUGGGACUGAGACACGGCCCAGACUCCUACGGGAGGCUGCAGUAGGGAAUAUUGCACAAUGGGCGAAAGCCUGAUGCAGCAACGCCGCGUGCGGGAAGAAGGCCCUAGGGUUGUAAACCGCUUUCAGCAGGGAAGAAAAUGACGGUACCUGCAGAAGAAGGUGCGGCCAACUACGUGCCAGCAGCCGCGGUGACACGUAGGCACCAAGCGUUGUCCGGAUUUAUUGGGCGUAAAGAGCUCGUAGGCGGUUCAGUAAGUCGGGUGUGAAAACUUUGGGCUCAACCCAGAGACGCCACUCGAUACUGCUGUGACUCGAGUGCGGUAGGGGAGCGGGGAAUUCCUAGUGUAGCGGUGAAAUGCGCAGAUAUUCGGUGGAACACCAGUGGCGAAGGCGGCUAACUGGACUGGUACUGACGCUGAGGCGCGAAAGUGUGGGGAGCAAACAGGAUUAGAUACCCCUGGUAGUCCACACCGUAAACGAUGAAUGCUAGUUGUCUGCGCGCAUGCGUGCAGGUGACGCAGCUAACGCAUUAAGCAUUCCGCCUGGGGAGUACGGCCGCAAGGUUAAAACUCAAAGAAAUUGACGGGGGCCCGCACAAGCGGUGGAGCAUGUGGUUUAAUUCGAAGCAACGCGCAGAACCUUACCCGCGUUUGACAUGCCCUGUUUGGUUACCAGAGAUGGUUUCCUUCAUUUAGUUGGCAGGUGCACAGGUGCUGCAUGGUUGUCGUCAGCUCGUGUCGUGAGAUGUUGGGUUAAGUCCCGCAACGAGCGCAACCCUUAUCCUUAGUUGCCAGCACGUCUGGGUGGGCACUCUAAGGAAACUGCCGGUGCUAAGCCGGAGGAAGGCGGGGAUGACGUCAAGUCCUCAUGGCCCUUACACGCGGGGCUACACACGUGCUACAAUGGCAGUGACAAUGGGAUAAUCCCCAAAAGCUGUCUCAGUUCAGAUUGUCCUCUGCAACUCGAGGGCAUGAAGUUGGAAUCGCUAGUAAUCGUGGAUCAGCAUGCCACGGUGAAUACGUUCCCGGGCCUUGUACACACCGCCCGUCACAUCAUGGGAGUUGGUUCUACCCGAAGGCUGUGCGCUAACUUAGGAGGCAGCAGACCACGGUAGGAUCAGGGACUGGGAUGAAGUCGUAACA